rnacentral:lncRNA from 1 species
GGUAGCUGAGAGCUUGGAAAGCUUUCUAAGUCCUGCUUGGGCAUGCGCUCACCUGGUCCUGUCACAGCUGAGAACCCAGGCCUAGGUCUCUUGAGUAAACUGCCCUGGCUAUCAGCGAGUUAGUGGUAGAGGCAGUGCUCAGACCAGGCAGGACCAUUUCUGUGGCCGCCCCAGGGAGACUGCUGACCCUGGGAGCAGCCCUGUUCUCACUCAGAUGGUCCAGGGAAGUUCAGCUUCUCUUCACUUUUCCUGGGUGCUCGGUUAUGGACGGUCGCAAGGUAAGACCACCUUGCGCUGUUAGAAGGCCUUCCUCUUCUUUGGUGUCCCAAACUACGAGUGUCACAACUGAUUUCACAGAUUUCCCUGCCUUUGGCAAGAGAGGACGAGGACUGAUAUUUUCUGUGUGCCCGAUGUGCCAGUGGCUAGGCUGGUACCACCCCACUGGACCUUCUGGGCCUGGUUUUCAGGCAGGGAGCAGGCUCAGCGGGCAUGUCCUGCUCUCCUGUUCUUGGUGUGAGGUGGACCUCUGCGGCUCUGCUGGGCUCAAACCUGUGCAGAACUGUGGAGCAAACAGGGUUGAAGUGACAGUUCUCAGGGAGGGAGGUGACUUGGGUCUUUCCAUGGCCCUUGGACUUGGAAGGGGCCACAGCAGACUUAGCAAUCCCCUUCGGGUGGGUCUCCUGAAGCCGCACCUGCCUCCCUGCGCACUCCUUGAGCGAGGGACUUGCCACGGCUCCAGACAGACGUCAGCAUUUGGGGACAGCUGGAAUUGUUAAAGAGCUUUGUCAUUUUUAAUGAGCUACUGAACCAAAAUCUGCUCCCUGGACGUUCUCAGGUGACUGACCUCUCUUGGCUUGGGGUGUACACAGCUCUGACUCGAUUCUCCCUGGAGAGCAGUGUGAAACCCCAGCCCUCUUCGGUGGGCCACGGCAGGUCCAUCAGCCAAACAGAACGGUACAGAUGUUGCCCAAGACCCAGGCCCUCCCAGAUCAGCACCCAAGACACAUCCCCACUCAGCUCUAGCUCCACACGGGUGUCCCUAGUGCUUUAGUGUUGGGCUGCUUCAGGACCCCCCCCCCAGGUCUGACCGUCUUCGGGCACAGAACCCGUCAACAUAGGUCUCUGGGCCUCAUGUUUCCAGGGCUCCUGUUUUAUUCAGCUUCACAUCACUGUGGCCAAUGGCUUGGAGGAGGGAACCUUUAUUUGGCCUUACUGUAUCAGAGGGUAAAUCCAAGGUCAUCGGACUCCAUAGCUGGGACUCAAGGUGAGGCAGAACAGGAGGGGAGGAAAGCAGAGAGAGCUCGGUUCAGCAGGGACAGACAUAAACCCAGGCACCCCUCAGGGACCCACCUCCUCCAGCCACACCCUGCCUGACGACAGUCACCACCCGCUAAUUCACAUCAGUGGAUUAAUCCACUGCUCAGGUUACAGCUGUUACAAUCCGGCCAGUCAUCUCUCCUCUGAACACUCUUGCACUGUCUCACACAGGAGCCCUUGGGGGACACCUCGUAUCCUGACCACAACAGGGAGGAUGGUGACUCGGGUCUUUCCAUGAGAAUCUAGGCCAGGUCUCUUGAGUACACUGCCCUGGCUAUCAGCUAGUUGUCACAAGCCUGCUCAGAGCUAACACAGGAGCGUCACACAGCCCGAGUCCCCGCCCAGCAGGUCUGUGUCCAGCAGCCCUUAGCUCUCCGCGAGGGGGAUUAACCAGCCCAGCACAGGAGGGGCGUUUCGUAGGGAGCCUUUGGUGGCCUGCUAGCCACACUCCCCCACAGCAGAUUUCUCCCUCACAGCCCAGGACAGCAGAUCUGCUCACCACAUAGCCAUGGCCUCCCGGGUGGCACAGGCCUGUCUCAUGCUUUGUAUGUCACGGGGUCAUCUAGUGCCUCCUGUGUUGGGGAACUCAGCUGGCCUUGGACAGAGGUGGGAGGGCAGCUCACAAACACCUGCGCCGUUUCUGAACCAGGUGUGACAGUGCAGGGGAGGCACAGUGAAGGGCACUGGGGGGGUCUGGAGGCCUUUGUAGGUCGGAGGUAAGUGAGUGGCACCCAGAUAGGGAGGCCGAUUCUCCUCUCCCCACCACAUCCACCAAUUCCAUGAACUAGAGGGGCCAACCUUCACUCCCGGGGCCAACCUUCACUCUGGGGGGGGCUGCAGGACAGAUCCUCAUCAGGCUUCCCAGAGAGGCAGAGCUACUGGAGGGUGGGUGGAGUAGAGUCGUGAUGUGAGGGGGUUGGUCACCCACCCUUACCCUAGGAGGGCCAGGGGCCGCGCCAUCAGUGCACCCCUGGGUGAAUCCCAGGAGUCACUUCAUGUUGGAGGACUUUCCCAAGCUCAGGCCCAGGUAAGUCCUGGGAAUGCAUGAGUGGGCUGGCCAAGCGCGUGUCUGGCCGGCUGUGUGCGGAAAGCAUUUUGAACAUGUGCUAUUUCCAACUGACAGUGGGUUGAUGGGGACUUGCCCCAUCCCCAGUGGAUGAACCACGGAGUGUAGGAGGAGUUUGAAGAAUGGCUCAUGCAGUCACAGAGGCUGGCGUGACCGAGCUGCUCAGGGUGGGAUGGCAGAAGAGCCGACAGAGGGUCAGGUCUGAAGGUGACGGUCUGCUGCAGAGUGGCUUGUGGCUCCAGGGGCCUCAGACUUGGUUCUGUUAGGGCCUUCCAUUAUGCUGUGGCUUGAGGCUGAAACUUGAUCCCCACCGCGAGGGACCAAGAGGGUGGGCUCCAUCUGUAGUGGUGGGAGAGGUGAGGCCCCGGGAGGUGAUUGGGGUUAGGUAGAUCACAGGUGGCCCCGUCACUGAGUCCUGGUGGUCUAAGAGAAGGGAGAGAGACAGCUGACCUCCCUAUCUCUGCCGUGAGAUGCCCGGCCUGCCUCAGGGCGCUGCAGCGGAAGCCUUCCCCAGGUGCCACCCAGAGCCCCUCCAGGACAGGAGCAGAGUCAGGCUGCUCUUCAGAGAGCCCCGUCUGUGGUGGCGAGUUAUCACCACAGAAAAGGCCCUGAGGAGCGCCAGCAGGUGCGGCCCAGCCCCUCACAGAGGCCGAUCUGGACCCAACGCCCACGGAUGACCCAGUGUCGUGGCUCACUGUGAGAGCCCAGUCCAGGGCCUGCCAUCUGGGCCGGUCCCACUGGUCGUCAGCAGGCCCCUUGUUUCGUCGGGUUCUUCUUUUCUGUUUUGUUUUUCUUCCUGGGCCUUAUUUUAUUUUGUAUUUUGAGACAGGGUCUCACAAGUCCACAGGACCUAGGUAGCUGUGGAUGCCCCAUCCUCCCGCCUCAGCACCCCGAGAGCGCACCUUAUUUAACCCCUGCUGGUCUCUGGGGGCAGCCGCGGCCAGCAGGGCUGCCUCGGCCCUCCCUAGGGCACUCGGGGCUUCCUGCUCUGAGGAGCACCAGGGAGUUGCCACACUCACGUGGGCUGUUUCCAAGGGUGGGCUCACCCACAGCAGCACAAAAAUGUGGGAAGCGCAGCACUAACCAGACCUGAGGAGACCUCUGUUCACAGGGUGGGGCCUGGAGCAGGACCUGGAGCCCCUGGGCCCCACCAGGACCUGUGCCCCUGAGGCCGACGGCUCGCUCUCUGUGCACGUCCUGGGAUGACUGAGGGCUUCGUGAGCAUUGAUCUGGGGGUGCCAAUGGAACUGAGCACCUGGGAGAGGGUGUGGACACUGGAGACCUGGUAGGAGGCGAGCCCUGCGGGUGGUGGGCGUGGCGACGGAGAAGGAGGCGUCGACCAGUGAGGCUGAGGCCAAUGUUAGGGGACUUUCAUGAGGACUCCCAGCUGGGGCUCAGCGUCUUCCAUAAAAGAGUUUUCCAAAGUGAGCAAGGGUUGGAUUUGCAUUUUAGUUCUGCGGACUUCAGGUAAAGAUGGAAGUGGGGAGAUGGCAUGAGGGUGGUCACAGGGAAUGUAGGAGAUGUCCACUUUCUAAACUGCCCCGUGACAGAGGAGUGGAGGGAGGAGGAGAUGGUAUGGGCAUGAGGAGCAGGCUGGAGGGGUCUAUGGCAUCCUGCAGGCUGGGAACUGCAGUCCCUGGAAGGAAAUCUGCUUUCACAUUGCACACUCUUCUCCUGAGGCAACAGUCUGACCCCCCCCCCAGACUUCUCCAGGCUCUUCCUGUGGAGGGUGGUCUGCAGCCCCCACUCCUGCCCGCCCUUCCUGUCCACUUUCCACACAUCUGGUGGGCAGCUGUAUGCAGGGAGCCUCCCUCCCUCUGGCCAUGGGAGCAGAUGUGCCUGGCUGCUCCUGCAUCUGACCAGUUGGAUUGCCUGGUCUGAGGGAGGACCAUGCUCUGCCCUGCCUCUGCCCACGCGUCCUCCUAGGGAGGCAGAGGGACUCUAGCAGCUCUCCUGUGGACGAGCAGGAGGACUGAGGUUGCAGGAGACUUUCUGACUACCUCAGCCCUGCCUUCUUCUUCCCCUCCAGCUCUGAGCUGCACAGUGUCUUGAAUGACUGACAGCCCGGCCCUGGCCAGGACCGGCUCCUGUUCUCCUCUGAGGGGCUUGCGAGCACCGAACCCUGGACCUCUGCUCAUCACUGCAGCGCCGAGGAGAGGCCACCUCGUUCCCCAGGCCCGGCUUGGAUCUGCAGCCUCUUCAGAUUGUGCACCCAAUGGAGCUCCUGCAGCCCAGAUGUACACCACGAGUAAUGAAUUAUCCAUGAUUAAUUACAACCAACCAGGCCUCCUUCUUCCCCAGGCACUUGAUCUAAAUAUUUACAAGGAAUUCUGAUCAUAUGCUCGCUGUCCAAAUUAAUAUUAUUUCAUCUGAAAAUACAGGAGUGUUUUCAACCCAAAUCAGCUGUUGUUUGGAGUCCAAUCAGCACACCCUGUGGGAAAGCAGAGCCGACGGUUCUGUGUGGUGACGUACAGUGUGGCUGGUCAGCCUUGAGGAAGGGCAGCACAAGGUAAGUGGACAGGCCGGGCUGCACCUGAGGCCUUGCAGGCCCACCUCCCACCCACCCCACGCACCUCCAGGUGGCCUUCAGAGACCCCCGGAACCUGAGACCCAGGUGGGAGGCAGGCCACCUGCUGCCCCACUCCCAGCCUGGACGGGGCGCUCCCCCGGAGCCUGAGGCUCCUCCAGGUCCUGGCAGCUCUGAGGCCGGUGGCUGGGUCAGACUCUGCCAACUUCUACACAUGGCCACCCUCCUGGUCCUGUCUAGCUCACGACACCCUAAUUUGGUCCAGGGUUGGGUUGGCUCCCUCCUGCAGGGGAGCUGGUGCCAGCCUCAGGGCUCAGCCUCAGGCUGAGUCACGAUCACUCUAAGUCAGCUGCAGACCUUCCCUCUGCCAAGGGCUGUUGGAGACAGGAGUUUGUGGCAAAAUCUGGCCACAGCGCGGGUUGGGGCUGGGGCUUCGGGCCAUCUGAGAAAGGUUUGCAGAAGACCAAAGAAGUCCCCAGGCAUCCAGCUCCUUUCUCUUGCCCAGGAGGUCAGAAGCAAGGGGGAGGGGCGCGGAUGAACGCCAGGACUGGGUCUCAGAUGGCACUUUUGCUACAUGGAAUAAUAAAGAUGGUUUAUUUCCAUACACUAAGAAUCUAGGUUUCUUAAAAACGAGUUUUCUGUUUGUUGUCUCAGAAAAGUGUUUUAACUCAUGUCAUUUCCUUCCCCGCAACGUGGGCCGCUGAGAACCUCUGGAGGUGCCCGCUGGGGGACCUGAUAGAAACAGAGCGGGGCUCCUCCAGGUCAUCCAGGCUGCGGCCCCUGCUCGCCUGCCUUCCCCUCCCAGAGCAGCCCAGCCUGAGAGGCCUGCACCUGAGGGGGAACCUGCCGCCACUCCUUGAGGGCUCCUGCCAGGCCGGGGACUCCACUGCUCCAGGGCAGUGCCCAGCUGUGGAGGCCUAGCCCCUACAGGGUUCCGACCCUCACCUCCGGAGAUUAGCAGAGCUUUCCUGGGAUAGAGCCUAGGAAACUGCCUGUCGACAGCCUGCCCCUGGGAAUUCUGACACGGGUUCCCAUCAACUGGAACCCUGACGUGCUGGCCCUGGUCAGCCUGGUCAGGCUCCAGGGUGGCCCAGGUAGGUCGCCCACUGGUCCUUGGCUGGGUGGCAAGGUCUGGAGAUGUGUGUUUGUUCCAGCCUGGGGCUGCCACAGUCCUCUAGUGGGUAGAGGCCUAGGGUGCUCUGGAUGCCCACGGUGCAGAGGACAGCUCCACAACCAAGGGUCAGCUGGCCUCAGGUUUGAGUAGCGCUGGGGAGGACUGGGCUGGUGCAGGCUCACAGUAGUGGGAACACGCUCUACUUCUGAGGCUGCAGCCUGAGGAGCAGAGAGCGUGGGCUGAAGAGAUGGGGCAGUGCCUCCGUACAAGCCAGAGUCCCCUCUCUGCUGGUGGUCACCCCAGGGCAGGCAGGGAAGGCAGAUGGAAAGAGCCUUCAACAGGCCCUGAGAUGCUGAGCAGGGCCCAGACUUCACCCAGCACAAGCUAGGAGAGAGGUACUUGGGGUGAGUUACUAGGAGCGAGGUACUUGGGGUGAGGUGCUUGGGGCGAGGUGCUUGGGGUGAGGUAUUUGGGGUGAGGUGCUUGGGGUGAGGCACUUG